rnacentral:misc_RNA from 1 species
GAGAUAGGGUCCUUCGGGGCCCGACCCUCCCACCCUUUGUGUAUGUACCUUUGUUGCUUCGGCGGAAUCCCUGGUCGCGGUGUGGUCCGCCAUGCCCCAGCCUCGGCCCGUCAGAGGCCCUAUCUAUUCUGAAUUAUCCGAGUCGUCUGAGUAAACAUGCAAAUAAAUUAAAACUUUCAACAACGGAUCUCUUGGUUCU